rnacentral:rRNA from 1 species
AACGAACGCUGGCGGCAGGCCUAACACAUGCAAGUCGAGCGGACAUCUUCGGAUGUUUGCUGCGUACGGGUGCGUACCGCGUGGGAACGUGCCCUUAGCUUCGGAAUAGCCUCGGGAAACUGGGAGUAAUACCGGAUGUACCCUUUGGGGGACAGAUUGAUCGGCAAAGGAUCGUCCGGCGCUGGCUCAGUUAGUUGGUGGGAUGAUGGCCUACCAAGCUGGGGAUCCAUAGCCGGUCUGAGAGGAUGAUCAGAGACACUGGUACUGAGAAACAGCGCGGACUCUUGCGGGAGGGAGGAGUGCCUGAUCUAGGCAAAUCGGGUGAAUGAUGAACGAGCCAUGCCGGGUAAGCGAUGAAGGUCUGAGGGUAGUAAAGCUCUUUCACCGGGGAAGAUAAUGACGGUACCCAGAGAAGAAGCCCCGGCUAACUCCGUG